UACGAAGGGUGACAGCGUUACUCGGAAUUACUGGGCGUAAAGCGUGCGUAGGUGGUGAGUUAAGUCUGUCGUGAAAGCCCCGGGCUCAACCUGGGAAUGGCGAUGGAUACUGGCUCGCUAGAGUGCGGUAGAGGAGAGUGGAAUUCCCGGUGUAGCAGUGAAAUGCGUAGAGAUCGGGAGGAACAUCAGUUGCGAAGGCGGCUCUCUGGACCAGCACUGACACUGAGGCACGAAAGCGUGGGGAGCAAACAGG
rnacentral:rRNA from 1 species